GGCAACGUGAGUCGAGAAGGGCAUAUGGGCAGUUGCCCGGGCAACCUGAGCAACCCCCCUGUGCACGUCCCUGAGCACCUGUAUAAUCCAAAUUAGAAUCACAAAACUCCCCGUGGAUUCAAGAAGGAGCUGAAUUUCACUCAGGCAUUCUCUCUGUCACCAGGAGAAAAAGGACCAUUCAGAUCUGGCAUAACCUUCCACAAGUGAAUUGACUAAACUCAAUAAUGCUGGAAAGAAAUUUUGGGAUGGACAAAAAGUUUUUUGUUUUUUUUAACACCCAUCUCCUCAUUUUACAUUCAAGGAUGCCAACAUAUCAGUAGUACUGACACUAUUAUUUAUUGAAGGAAAUGAAUGAAUAAAAUUUCUUGCUGUGACAGACACCACAUACACACAUGCACUCACAACACAAGCCAAAGCUGUCAAAGAAUUCAUUAACAUUCAAACCUACCCGCUGAGCCACACGUCCUAACCUGCACACGUUUAAAAGCACCCGCACACAAUCACACUUAUUCACCUCGUCUGUUUUUUCCCUGUCUUAUUGCUCCCAGAGACCCUUGCGUGAUGCAUUAGAGCGGCUGUCACACAACCGGCUGGUACGGAGAGGGUGGGACCGGCUGUGAUUGAUGGCAUGAGGAUAAUGCAUGAUUGGCUCUAUGACUAAUGAUCAUGGUACAGCAGGAGGGAUGAGAGGAUAAAAAGAGAAGUUCUUCAAACUGGAAGGAGUGCUAAUAAUAAAGAUGAAAAGAAAAGGAUGGAAGAAAUGACAAGCAAUAAGAAGAAGAUGAUGUGUUGUACUUGGUGUCCUGGUUUAGCCAUCCCUUUCAUGCUUCUGUCUGAGUGAUAAGCUUUUUCUUUGCCCUGCAGAGAAAAGAAGCCAGCUCUUUGUGUCUAUUUCCACGCUGCAGAGAUCACGAGAUAUGCGUUUAUGAUUAGUGUUCUCUGCAGAAGUGGCACCAGUAACAUAACAUUAAAAAAAAUCACAAACACGACCCGCUAGACUAAUUACAUUGUGUAAAAUGAUUAUAUUCCAUACGGCUUUAAACAUGUACAGUCUGAUAAUUAUGAAACCAUCUGGGAUGUGGAACCAAUCACAAAGUAAACACUAUCUUGUUGCUUCUCAGCAAGUGCAUCAUCACCCCUCCUCGAUACUGGAAGCGUGUGAUUUGAUGGGAAAGCUUGCCAUUCCUGUCCUCUGGUUGGAAACUGUCCAACUGCAGUGAUAGGGCCAUUUCAUCAAAGGACAACAGCGGAACCAUACAGAGCCCCUGCCAGUAGGCCAUCUUGUGAACAUAAACUGUAUUCUUUUAUUUUCUUUGGUGGUGUAAUAGGUCUAUCUUAAGCAGCUUUGGAGAUGGGACAUCAUAUGGAAGACAGGCAAUGUCAUCGACAUCCAACUGUGUUUAUGAUUGCAAGGCCAUUGGCAUGGUGCAGCCCGUCUUGAAAUGAGAUUGGUAACUGUGGUUCCAGGUGGAAAAUCUCACUGUUUAAGUAUUCACAGGACUCAAGGUCAUAGGAUAUGGCUCCUUCACGCUUACAUGUUUAGCGUGAAGUUUUAAAUUGCAUUUUGCUUUUUACUAUCCAAGGUAAAGCCAUCCUAUCACAAGGGUUAUCUUCAACAGCAACACAUUUAGCAGAAUAUAACUGGUUGGAUAUUACGCUCUUGAGAGCAAGACAUUUCUGAUGGCUAACGCGAGAGAUAUGUCCAGGGCCUAAAACUAACUUUUUGCCACACCUGCCAAUGGCUGGUGACUUGAGAAAAUUUAUCAGCCAUAAAUAUUGUUAUUGUGUUUUUUUUUUUUUUUGUUACCAGCCAUGAAACAGAUUAAUCCUUAUUAAAGUUACAAAAGUUA